rnacentral:pre_miRNA from 1 species
UGCUAUUUAUAUCAUUACCAGUGUGCACAUUUAACAUUAUUGUUAAAUGUGCGAACUGGUAAUGAAAUAAAUACUG